GCGAUGUCUUUAGAGAAUAAAGCGGAGGUAGUUCGGGGAGACGAGGUGGUGCAGUGGUUGUCGUCAGCUCGUGUCGUGAGAUGGUUGGUUAACGUCCCGUAACGAGCGCAACCCCUAUUGCUAGUUACCAUCAUUAAGUUGGGGACUCUAGCGAGACUGCCAGUGAUAAACUGGAGGAAGGUGGGGAUGACGUCAAAUCAUCAUGCCCCUUAUGACCUGGGCUACAAACGUGAUACAAUGGCUGGAACAAAGGGAUGCGAAGCAGUGAUGUGGAGCGAAACCCAUAAAAACAGUCUCAGUUCGGAUUGAAGUCUGCAACUCGACUUCAUGAAGUCGGAAUCGCUAGUAAUCGCGGAUCAGAACGCCGCGGUGAAUACGUUCUCGGGGUUU
rnacentral:rRNA from 1 species